rnacentral:rRNA from 1 species
UACAGAGGGUGCGAGCGUUAAUCGGAAUUACUGGGCGUAAAGUGUGCGCAGGCGGCCGAGCAAGUCGAGUGUGAAAUCCCCGAGCUUAACUUGGGAAUUGCGCUCGAAACUACGUGGCUGGAGUGUGGCAGAGGAAGGUGGAAUUCCACGUGUAGCGGUGAAAUGCGUAGAUAUGUGGAGGAACACCGAUGGCGAAGGCAGCCUUCUGGGCCAACACUGACGCUCAUGCACGAAAGCGUGGGGAGCAAACAGG